GUACUCUCGGCGAGCGCUGGGGCUCCGCGCCCGACAUCCUCCCUCUAUCGUGCAGCCUUCGCUUUCGAGUGUGUACUCCAGUUGGGUUCCUAAACGACAUUGUGCUCGCACAGGGUACAGCUUAUUUGCCUGUAUUGUGUCUACCCCAUGUGCGUGUCUGAUGCCUACGGAAGCCAGAAGGCGGCUCUGGAUCACCUGGAACUGGAGAUACAGACAAUUGUGAAAUGCCAUGUGGGUGCCGAGAACCAAACCUGGGUACUCUGUAAGAACCGCCAGUGUUCUUAACAGCUGAGCCCCUGUCCAAACAUUCAGUCCUCAACAAAUGCAACUUUUGCAUGAUAGACAGAGACCCAGACCCAGUUGGGUUAUUUGCACAAGACAGACGGACAGAGACCUAGACUCAGUUGGGUAGACCUACCUGCCUCAGACAUUGGCUUCAUCAUUAUGUUAUUUCGGGGCAAAGAGCUCAUUACAGGAAGAAUGAAAGUUAAAUUUUACUAAGACAAAUCAAAAGCCCGUCCAACAUUGGCUUUAAGCACUAGUUGAUCUAACAACUUUGAUAAAACAAUUUUGAAACUGUCACUUAAGAACUGCUCUUGGGCGGGGCAGUGGUGGUGCACGCCUUUGAUCCCAGCACUUGGGAGGCAGAGGCAGGCAGAUUUCCGAGUUCAGGG